AUCGCGGACGAGUGCACAUCGUUCGUUGUUUAUUUAGUUUUAUUGAACAUUUCCAUUUUGGCCUUCAUUUUAUAUUCAAAGAGCAGAAUCUAUACGAGAAUUGCACUGCACGUUAAUAUAAUAGUGCGUGAUUAUCUAAAAUAUUCAAAAUCAUAAACAUUUUGAGGCACUGAUUUUAGUUUAUUUUAGGGCUUUAAAAGCUGAAUGGAAGCUCACAGGAGCAUCCUACUUACAACAAAUUGGCUCUAGAAAUUGAAUAGUACCUCACAAGAGAGUCAUCUUUUUAUGAAAUUGACUCUAGAAUUUGAACGGGCCUUUGCAGGAGAUGUCUUAGGACAACAGUUCUAUUUUGAUAUUGUAAGUAUUGAAAUGGUUUCUCAUUUUCGUAAAUAAUUUCCAUACUUCAUACAAUGAAAAGUAAAUUAAAUUAGAUAUUUUAAAGAUUAGCAGACGAAUUGCAGAUUUCUUAGUAAUUUAUUUCAAGUUUAUGGUCCCAAAAUCAGAUGGCGCUGCUAUCGAGCUAUCUAUUGUAUUUUGUUCCGUCACUCCCAGAUGGCGCUCGUGUCAGCUAUCUAUAUUGGUUUGCUCCGCCACAUUCAGAUGGCGCUUUCAUCGAUUUGAUUUCAAAUUUUACUUCAUUUUUGUUUUGGGUUUGGUGCGCUGUCACGUUUUACUUCAUGUCAUUUUUAUACUAAACUUUUAUGUUUAACAAAACGAAAAUUAAGAAAAGUUUUAAUUUUGUGUUUUGAGCGCUCUAAUUUUUGGUUGUUUUAGUUAGACUAGCGGGCGAACGGGAUGUCGUAGAACAACUAUUCUUUCAUAAAUAUUUAAAUUGUAUAUAAAACAUUUGGGUACAAGCGUAAGCCAUAAAAGUGGUAUUUUAUCACUGUACUUUAAUUAAAAUCCUCUCAUCCAAAUAAUAUUUUUUUGUAAACUUCAACUGAUAACUUGAUAAUUUGCAAUAUAUUUGUAAUCGCCCCUCCAACUGCGGAUUGGUUAUCCAUUCUACUUGCACACCUAGUCCGACUUAGUCAAUUGAGCGCUGUCUCGUAGUGCGCACGUGUUUUGUUCAUUAAUCAAACAUGGUGACAAUUGUUUGCGUUUCUUAAUAUUUCAUUUCUGUCGUAAUACUAGAAUCGGUUGACCAUGAGAGGCAUUUAAAAGUAACAGCCCAGUGUAGCGCACAACGAGUGAUUUGAGUGAUCAUUUGCGGUGCGCGCAUGGCGUCCGUCGUUAAAUGUACGUGUUUGAUAUGAGAACAAGGUUUCCAUUUGUGAUAUCCGCGUGGAAUAGUAAAGAUGUGCGUAUCAUCAAUUCUACUUACAAUUUGCGGAAUCGUGUUUGUGCGCGGUGUCACAAUAAGUUGCGGUGACUAAGGAAAUGGCUCCAUGGAAGAGGAUUGAAAAUACAAUUACAACGCCAUAAAAAUCAACUUCCAUAUUCUUUACAUGGAAUUCCCGGGUUACGGCCAGAUUUAUUUCAAAAUGUAAGUACUGAAAUAUUUUAUUUUUGGAGUAGCUAAUUAGAUAUUAAAACUGUACUUUUAAGAAAUGUUUCUAUUAUUAUUGUUGUCAAUAAAACACUAUGUAAAAUUAUAA